AGUGAACGCUGGCGGUAGGCCUAACACAUGCAAGUCGAACGGCAGCACAGUAAGAGCUUGCUCUUACGGGUGGCGAGUGGCGGACGGGUGAGGAAUACAUCGGAAUCUACUUUUUCGUGGGGGAUAACGUAGGGAAACUUACGCUAAUACCGCAUACGACCUACGGGUGAAAGCAGGGGAUCUUCGGACCUUGCGCGAUUGAAUGAGCCGCUGUCGGAUUAGCUAGUUGGCGGGGUAAAGGCCCACCCAGGCGACGAUCCGUAGCUGGUCUGAGAGGAUGAUCAGCGACACUGGAACUGGGACACGGUCCAGACUCCUACGGGAGGCAGCAGUGGGGAAUAUUGGACAAUGGGCGCAAGCCUGAUCCAGCCAUACCGCGUGGGUGAAGAAGGCCUUCGGGUUGUAAAGCCCUUUUGUUGGGAAAGAAAAGCAGCAGGUUAAUACCCCGCUGUUCUGACGGUACCCAAAGAAUAAGCACCGGCUAACUUCGUG
rnacentral:rRNA from 1 species